GAUGAACGCUGGCGGCGUGCCUAAUACAUGCAAGUCGAGCGAACGGACGAGAAGCUUGCUUCUCUGAUGUUAGCGGCGGACGGGUGAGUAACACGUGGAUAACCUACCUAUAAGACUGGGAUAACUUCGGGAAACCGGAGCUAAUACCGGAUGAUAUUUUGAACCGCAUGGUUCAAAAGUGAAAGACGGUCUUGCUGUCACUUAUAGAUGGAUCCGCGCUGCAUUAGCUAGUUGGUAAGGUAACGGCCUACCAAGGCAACGAUGCAUAGCCGACCUGAGAGGGUGAUCGGCCACACUGGAACUGAGACACGGUCCAGACUCCUACGGGAGGCAGCAGUAGGGAAUCUUCCACAAUGGGCGAAAGCCUGACGGAGCAACGCCGCGUGAGUGAUGAAGGUCUUCGGAUCGUAAAACUCUGUUAUUAGGGAAGAACAUAUGUGUAAGUAACUGUGCACAUCUUGACGGUACCUAAUCAGAAAGCCACGGAUAACUACGUG
rnacentral:rRNA from 1 species